rnacentral:rRNA from 1 species
UACGAAGGGGGCGAGCGUUGUUCGGAUUCAUUGGGCGUAAAGGGUGCGUAGGUGGCGGGGUUAGUCAGGUGUGAAAUCUCGGGGCUCAACCCCGAAACUGCACUUGAUACUGCCUUGCUAGAGUACUGGAGAGGAGAUUGGAAUUUACGGUGUAGCAGUGAAAUGCGUAGAUAUCGUAAGGAAGACCAGUGGCGAAGGCGAAUCUCUGGACAGUUACUGACACUGAGGCACGAAGGCCAGUGGAGCAAACGGG